AAUGCAGAUACCAAAUUUCCCUCACGGGAUCAAAAGAGUAUAUACUUAUAUAAUUUGUAGGGUUCAGCUAACAUAUUUGCUAAAGCUAAAGGUAUGGCUACUGACAUAAAGUUACUGAUUUGGGUGUCUGUGCCCUACUGGCUUUGAGGGAAAGCUAGUUAAUAAACGUUAGUUAACUAGCUGGACUUGGGAGUCAAAGCCGAAGACAAAUUAAGGUAGCAGCUAGGCGGUCGAAAUGUCAGUUCAUGCCGCUCAACAGAUGCCACAAGCAAGACCACACCAAAGAGAUAGGUCCCAUGGACCGGAAGUAGAAGGGGCGGGACUUCACCACUCUAUAGUGAAAUGCGCGGGAGAUUGACUUGUUCUACUUGGGCUCACUUCUCCUAACGUUCAUCGUCGAAAGUUUCCAUAGGCUACUGUUUAUUCUCCAGAUCAUACUGGAAAGCGUUUGUCUGUCCCUCCCAAGUAAAGGCCCUCAAGAAGAACCCCCUUACCAGCACUACAAAUCAGAGGAGGCUGAACGGUCAUUAGGGAAAUGGUUUACUGGGGCAAGGGACAGGGGAGGGCUGAGGGCAGCCAGAGUAGCGAAGUGAUUUAAUUCAAUUCAAUUUAGGUAUUGCUGUUUGUAACCAGUUCUUGUUGUUCUCUGUGUUGAUGUUCUCUGUGUUGUAAUUUAUGAAAUGAUUAUUAUUAAAUGCAAAAAAAAGAAAAUUAGGCUGCUUUUUCUGCAGUUUGGUGGGACCAUAGAGCCAUAGCCCCCUGGAAGUGACUAAUAUUAUUUUCUAGUGAAUUACAAAUGGGUCUGGUUUUGUAUUGGUAUUUAUAGUGUAUGUUGUAAACAUUGGAAUUUUAAUUAUGUUUUAUUGUAAAUGUUGGAGCCAUAUGACAUUGAAGAUGGGACCAAUAUAUUGUAUGCAUUGCCCAGCUUUGCCCUACUUAAUAACUAUAAUCUUGCAUGCAACCCAUUUGGCCAAUGUGUAGAACAUAGACAGAAUAUUAGCACGGAUGGGUCUGGCAUUUAUUGCCCAGUUUGGAGCCACAUAAAACCCAUUGUAAUCCUGCCUGAAACCCAUGUGGACAAAUGGCAUGGGGCCACUAUAGAACCUGCGAUUCAUCCCUCCUACACCCCAUUAUUUAAAUCAUGUAGUACCCAUGUAGAACCCAGGUGGAAUUUAGGCUGGGGCCCCAGAUGGGUCCAUUGUUUGUUGCCCAUUUGGUACCCACAUAAAAACCAGUGUAAUCCUGCAUGGAACCCAUGAGGGGAAAAUUACAUGGGGCCACUUUGAAACCCAUGGACAAUCCCACCAAAAACCCAUAUUUAAACCCAUGUAGAACCCAGGUAGAAUUUAAGGCUGGGUUCCAGAAGGGUCCAGCAUAUGUUGCCCAGUUGGGACCCAAAUAAAACCCAGUGCAAUCCUGCAUGGAGCCCAUGUGGGCAAAUGACAUGGGGCCACUUUGGAACCCGCGGACAAUCCCACCAAAAUCCCAUAUUUAAACCCAUGUGGUACCCAUGUAGUACCCGGAUAGAAUUUAUGGCUGGGGUCCAGAUGGGUCCAGUGUAUGUUGCCCAGUUGGGACCCAAAUAAAACCCAGUGUAAUCCUGCAUGGAGCCCAUGUGGGCAAAUGACAUGGGGCCACUUUGGAACCCGCGGACAAUCCCACCAAAAUCCCAUAUUUCAACCCAUGUGGUACCCAUGUAGUACCCGGAUAGAAUUUAUGGCUGGGGUCCAGAUGGGUCCAGUGUAUGUUGCCCAGUUGGGACCCAAAUAAAACCCAGUGUAAUCCUGCAUGGAGCCCAUGUGGGCAAAUGACAUGGGGCCACUUUGGAACCCGCGGACAAUAUGGGUGUCCACCAAGUAUGAAAUUGUGGAGUAUCUGGAUGGAAUUGGCACACACUAUACGAUCAGGCCGUAUGGGGAGGAGGGCCCCCUUAAGACCAUACAUCGUUCCGAGCUUAAACCUGCUCCCACCAGUCAAGAUUCAUCCAGCCCAUCAGCACUGGCUGCUCCACAGCCUCAUGGGGGUAUCGGGAGGGAGCCAGGCCUCGGUAACCCUGCAGUUGGAGAUCCGUUGAGGGUAGCCAUAGUCCACACCAGGACUAGUGCUUAGCAUCACAGUGACCAAGAUGGUGUUAACUUUAGCCUUGACCAACUGUCCCAGGCUCAUUUGGAGGGCGUACCAGAUUAAAGAGAGCAAAUGCACAUGGUUUAGUGUCUGACCAAUGUUUUCCCUUGAGUUAUUUGUUUUUUGUAUUAGUUCAGGCUGUUGAGAGGGCCAUCCAUGGUUUGUCUGUCUGUUUGUUUGUAACUUAUGGUUUGUCUGUUUGUUUGUACCUUAUAUUCUUUUGUUUGUUAAUUUUGCCUGCUGCUACUUAACUACCCAUGCCUAUGACACCUAGUGGUGUACUGUGUUGCCUGUACUAUUAUAAAAUAUUUUCAAGACAAAUUUAUCUUAAGGUAGACAAUAGAAUGACAUGGCAGGUCAAGGAAAGCAUCAAGAAAAGCAAAGAUUAAGAAAUCGAUUUUGACAGGCAACAAGGGAGGAGGUGUUUUUACACUUUUCAGACACUCAAAGUUUGAAAACUAUGGAUAUUGUUUUAGAACCAACAACCUUUC